rnacentral:rRNA from 1 species
GUGCACCAGUCGAGAAACUUCACACUGUGCGAAAGCACGAUGAGGGAAUCCCAAGUGCUUGCACGUAAGUGUAAGCUGUUUCUCUGUCUAAAACGCAGAGAGAGUAAGGGCUGGGUAAGACGGGUGCCAGCCGCCGCGGUAAUACCUGCAGCUCAAGUGGUGACCGUUAUUAUUGGGCCUAAAACGUCCGUAGCCGGUUUAAUAAAUGCCUGGGUAAAUUGUGUAGCUUAACUAUACGAAUUCCGGGUAGACUGUUAAACUUGAGACCGGGAGAAGUUAGAGGUACUCCUGGGGUAGAGGUGAAAUUCUGUAAUCCUAGGGGACCACCAGUGGCGAAGGCGUCUAACUAGAACGGGUCUGACGAUGAGGGACGAAGCCCUGGGGCGCAAAACGGGAUUAGAUACCCCUGUAGU